rnacentral:rRNA from 1 species
AGUGAACGCUGGCGGUAGGCCUAACACAUGCAAGUCGAACGGCAGCACAGUAAGAGCUUGCUCUUACGGGUGGCGAGUGGCGGACGGGUGAGGAAUACAUCGGAAUCUACUUUUUCGUGGGGGAUAACGUAGGGAAACUUACGCUAAUACCGCAUACGACCUACGGGUGAAAGCAGGGGAUCUUCGGACCUUGCGCGAUUGAAUGAGCCGAUGUCGGAUUAGCUAGUUGGCGGGGUAAAGGCCCACGAAGGCGACGAUCCGUAGCUGGUCUGAGAGGAUGAUCAGCCGCACUGGAACUGAGACACGGUCCAGACGCCUACGGGAGGCAGCAGUGGGGAAUAUUGGACAAUGGGCGCAAGCCUGAUCCAGCCAUCCCGCGUGGGUGAAGAAGGCCUUCGGGUUGUAAAGCCCUUUUGUUGGGAAAGAAAAGCAGCAGGUUAAUACCACGCUGUUCUGACGGUAACCAAAGAAUAAGCACCGGCUAACUUCGUG